GACGAACGCUGGCGGUGUGCUUAACACAUGCAAGUCGAACGAAGUGGCGAACGGGUGAGUAACGCGUAAUCAACCUGCCCUUCAGAGGGGGACAACAGUUGGAAACGACUGCUAAUACCGCAUACUGAAGGAGGGGAUUGCGUCGGAUUAGCUAGUUGGAGGGGUAACGGCCCACCAAGGCGAUGAUCAGUAGCCGGGCUGAGAGGGUGGACGGGCCAAUUUGGACUGGGACACGGCCCAGACCCCUACGGGAGGCAGCAGUGGGGAAUCUUCCGCAAUGGGCGAAAGUCUGACGGAGCAACGGCGCGUGAGUGAUGACGGCCUUCGGGUUGUAAAGCUCUGUUAAUCGGGACGCGGUACCGGAAUAGAAAGCCACGGCUAACUACGUGCCAGCAGCCGCGGUAAUUC
rnacentral:rRNA from 1 species